ACGAUGCUAGCUAGAUGAUUCAUUCGCAAGUCGCGAAUGAAGUGUCGCAGGGAAGCCGUUAAGCUAGCCGCCUGGGGAGUACGGUCGCAAGACUGAAACUUAGAGGAAUUGGCGGGGGAGCACCACAAGGGGUGAAGCCUGCGGUUCAAUUGGAGUCAACGCCAGGAAACUUACCAGGAGAGACAGCAGGUUGAGGGUCAGACUGAAGAUCUUACCUGACGAGCUGAGAGGAGGUGCAUGGCCGUCGCCAGCUCGUGCCGUGAGGCGUCCUGUUAAGUCAGGCAACGAGCGAGACCCCUAUCAGUAAUUGCUAACUGCCCAGAGAUGGGCAGAGGCUAGUUACAGAGACUGCCGUUGAUAAAACGGAGGAAGGAAGGGGCCACGGCAGGUCAGUAUGCCCCGAAACUCCUGGGCCACACGCGGGCUGCAAUGGUAGGGACAAUAGGUUCCGACCUCGAAAGAGGAAGGCAAUCCCCAAACCCUACCCCAGUUGUGAUCGAGGAUUGAAACCCGUCCUCGUGAAUAUGGAAUCCCUAGUAACCGCGUGUCAUCACCGCGCGGUGAAUACGUCCCUGCUCCUUGCACACACCGCCCGUCGCUUCACCCGAGUUUGGUCAGGACGAGGUCACCUCAUGUUGUGGUGAUCGAAUCUUAGCUAGGCAAGGGGGGAGA
rnacentral:rRNA from 1 species